rnacentral:rRNA from 1 species
AGAGUUUGAUCCUGGCUCAGAACGAACGCUGGCGGCGUGGAUAAGACAUGCAAGUCGAACGGGAGAAUUGCUAGCUUGCUAAUAAUUCUCUAGUGGCGCACGGGUGAGUAACACGUGAGUAACCUGCCUCUUAGUGGGGGAUAGCCCUGGGAAACCGGGAUUAAUACCGCAUACGAUUGAAAGAUCAAAGCAGCAAUGCGCUAGGAGAUGGGCUCGCGGCCUAUUAGUUAGUUGGUGAGGUAACGGCUCACCAAGGCGAUGACGGGUAGCCGGUCUGAGAGGAUGUCCGGCCACACUGGAACUGAGACACGGUCCAGACACCUACGGGUGGCAGCAGUCGAGAAUCAUUCACAAUGGGGGCAACCCUGAUGGUGCGACGCCGCGUGGGGGAAUGAAGGUCUUCGGAUUGUAAACCCCUGUCAUGUGGGAGCAAAUUAAAAAGAUAGUACCACAAGAGGAAGAGACGGCUAACUCUGUGCCAGCAGCCGCGGUAAUACAGAGGUCUCAAGCGUUGUUCGGAAUCACUGGGCGUAAAGCGUGCGUAGGCUGUUUCGUAAGUCGUGUGUGAAAGGCAGGGGCUCAACCCCUGGAUUGCACAUGAUACUGCGAGACUAGAGUAAUGGAGGGGGAACCGGAAUUCCCGGUGUAGCGGUGGAAUGCGUAGAUAUCGGGAGGAACACCAGUGGCGAAGGCGGCCUACUGGGCACCAACUGACGCUGAGGCUCGAAAGUGUGGGGAGCAAACAGGAUUAGAUACCCUGGUAGUCCACGCCGUAAACGAUGAUUACUAGGUGUUGGUGGGUAUGACCCAUCGGUGCCGCAGCAAACGCAAUAAGUAAUCCACCUGGGGAGUACGUUCGCAAGAAUGAAACUCAAAGGAAUUGACGGGGGCCCGCACAAGCAGUGGAGUAUGUGGUUUAAUUCGACGCAACGCGAAGAACCUUACCAGGUCUUGACAUCCAACUAACGAAGCAGAGAUGCAUUAGGUGCCCUUCGGGGAAAGUUGAGACAGGUGGUGCAUGGUUGUCGUCAGCUCGUGUCGUGAGAUGUUGGGUUAAGUCCCGCAACGAGCGCAACCCUUGUGAUUAGUUGCUACGCAAGAGCACUCUAAUCAGACUGCCGUUGACAAAACGGAGGAAGGUGGGGACGACGUCAAAUCAUCAUGCCCUUUAUGACCUGGGCUACACACGUACUACAAUGGUCGUUAACAGAGGGAAGCAAUACCGCGAGGUGGAGCAAAACCCUAAAAACGGUCUCAGUUCAGAUUGUAGGCUGCAACUCGCCUACAUGAAGUUGGAAUUGCUAGUAAUCGCGGAUCAGCAUGCCGCGGUGAAUACGUUCCCGGGCCUUGCACACACCGCCCGUCA